UACGAAGGGGGCUAGCGUUGUUCGGAAUUACUGGGCGUAAAGGGCGCGUAGGCGGUGUGUCAAGUCAGGCGUGAAAGCCCCGGGCUCAACCCGGGAAGUGCACUCGAAACUGCGAGGCUAGAGUACUGGAGAGGUUGGUGGAAUUCUCGGUGUAGAGGUGAAAUUCGUAGAUAUCGAGAGGAACACCGGUGGCGAAGGCGGCCAACUGGACAGAUACUGACGCUGAGACACGAAAGCGUGGGGAGCAAACAGG
rnacentral:rRNA from 1 species